UAGCCUCUUCGUCCAGCGGCCAAGGAUAGCGCCCUCUGGAGGCGCAGACCCCAGUUCGAAUCUGGGAGAGGCUAU
rnacentral:tRNA from 1 species